rnacentral:lncRNA from 1 species
UGUGAAGGAGGCUUUGAACUGGGGGAAAAGGCAGCAAUGAGGUGUGGCUGUAGCCCAGGAAUAGUCAGGGAAGCAGAUAAUUUAAAUUUAGUUAAAGUGUCUCGGCCUAAUAAGGGAACAGGGCAGGUGGGGAUAACUAAAAAGGAGUGCUUAAAAGAGUAUUGUCUAAGUUGGCACCAGAGUUGAGGAGUUUUAAGAGGUUUAGAAGCCUGGCCGUCAGUACCUGCAAUAGUUACGGAGGCAAGGGAAACAAGCCUUUGAAAAGAAGGUAAUGUGGAGUGGGUUGCCUCUGUAUUGAUUAAGAAGGGGACAGACUUACCCUCCACUGUGAGAGUUACCCAGAGCGUCUGUGAUGGUCCUGUAGGCUUUUGAGGCGAUCUGGCAGUGUCAGUCUUCAGCUGCUAAGCUGAGAAGAUCUGGGAAGGAGUCAGAGAGCCUUGGGCCAGAGUUCUAGGGGCCCUGAGAGUGGCUGCCAGGACAUGCUGUCCACCCAGCUCUCCCGCUAUGAAUGAAG